GAUGAACGCUGGCGGCGUGCCUAAUACAUGCAAGUCGAGCGAAGAGGGGACGGGGGAGUAACACGUAGAUAAACUGCUCUAAGACUGGGAUAACCUCGGGAAACCGGAGCUAAAACGGCAAAGUAUAGAUGGAUCAGCGCUGCAUUAGCUGGUUGGUAAGGUAACGGCUUACCAAGGAAACGAUGCAUAGCCGAACUGAGAGGGUGAUCGUCCACACUGGAACUGGGACACGGUCCAGAUGCCUACGUGAGGCAGCAGUGGGGAAUCUUCCGCAAUGGGCGAAAGCCUGACCGAGCAACGCCGCGUGAGUGAUGAAGGUCUUCGGGUCGUAAAACUCUGUUAUUAGGGAAGCGGUAUCUAAUCAGAAAGCCACGGCUAACUACGUGCCAGCAGCCGCGGUAAUUC
rnacentral:rRNA from 1 species